UACAGGGGGUGCAAACGUUGCUCGGAAUUAUUGGGCGUAAAGCGCGCGUAGGCGGCUACUUAAGUCGGAUGUGAAAGCCCUUGGCUCAACUGAGGAAGUGCACCCGAAACUGAGUGGCUUGAGUACUAAAGAGGGUCGCGGAAUUCCCGGUGUAGAGGUGAAAUUCGUAGAUAUUGGGAGGAACACCAGUGGCGAAGGCGGCUCACUGGACUGGUACUGACGCUGAUGCGCGAAAGCGUGGGGAGCAAACAGG
rnacentral:rRNA from 1 species